rnacentral:tRNA from 1 species
GGCCGCGUAGCGUAAUGGAUAACGCGUCUGACUUUGGAUCAGAAGAUUGCAGCUUCCAGUCUUGCCGCGGUCC